UAAACUGUAGAGGAAAAAAAAAAAAAAAAUAAUGUAGAGAUAAAGCAUCAGUAGUGUGCAAGCUUCCCCACACUGUCCUUCCAGUGUGCCUCAGUUCUGAUUGACAAGGACUGUCUCAAAAGUGAGAGGUUAUUUCAGUUUCCAUGACCCAUUCAGCACUUGACCUGU
rnacentral:sRNA from 1 species